CAUGCUCGUUUGUGACCUGGGUGCAAGUGCUUUUGCAGAAUCUCUUAGUGAGGAUUUGUGGCUUUACCAGUGGAUAACUUCUCCAUCGGUGAAGGAACCAUGCAAAGCUGCUAGACAGAAAAAGAGAACUAUAAUUUUGGGAAGUGGUUGAAAAGGAAAAGCUACAAUUAGAAUUGUGUCAUGGCCUCUCCCAUUGCGGAGCACAGGCCACGGACGCGCAGGC